rnacentral:rRNA from 1 species
GCCAGACUCCUACGGGAGGCAGCAGUGAGGAAUAUUGGUCAAUGGGCGGAAGCCUGAACCAGCCAAGUCGCGUGAGGGAAGAAGGCCCUGCGGGUCGCAGACCUCUUUGGACGGGGAGCAAGGCCGCCGACGUGUCGGCGGAAGGAGAGUGCCCGUAGAACAAGCAUCGGCUAACUCCGUGCCAGCAGCCGCGGUAAUACGGAGGAUGCGAGCGUUAUCCGGAUUUAUUGGGUUUAAAGGGUGCGCAGGCGGCACGGCAAGCCGGCGGUCAAAUCGCGGGGCUCAACCCCGCCCAGCCGUCGGAACUGCCGGGCUAGAGUGGGCGAGAAGUAUGCGGAAUGCGUGGUGUAGCGGUGAAAUGCAUAGAUAUCACGCAGAACUCCGAUUGCGAAGGCAGCUUACCAGACUGCGACUGACGCUGAAGCACGAGAGCGUGGGUAGCGAACAGGAUUAGAUACCCCCGUAC